AGUGAACGCUGGCGGUAGGCCUAACACAUGCAAGUCGAACGGCAGCACAGUAAGAGCUUGCCCUCACGGGUGGCGAGUGGCGGACGGGUGAGGAAUACAUCGGAAUCUACUUUUUCGUGGGGGAUAACGUAGGGAAACUUACGCUAAUACCGCAUACGACCUACGGGUGAAAGCAGGGGAUCUUCGGACCUUGCGCGAUUGAAUGAGCCGAUGUCGGAUUAGCUAGUUGGCGGGGUAAAGGCCCACCAAGGCGACGAUCCGUAGCUGGUCUGAGAGGAUGAUCAGCCACACUGGAACUGAGACACGGUCCAGACUCCUACGGGAGGCAGCAGUGGGGAAUAUUGGACAAUGGGCGCAAGCCUGAUCCAGCCAUACCGCGUGGGUGAAGAAGGCCUUCGGGUUGUAAAGCCCUUUUGUUGGGGAAGAAAAGCAGCAGGUUAAUACCCCGCUGUUCUGACGGUACCCAAAGAAUAAGCACCGGCUAACUUCGUG
rnacentral:rRNA from 1 species